UAAAAAUUACACAUAAAUUUUGUGCUUUUUUAUUUUUUUUAUAAGUGAAUUUUUAAACAAGUUUCCUUUGGUCAUAUGAAACCAUGAAACGAAAAGAACCACAUUGAUUGAUUUAUUUAUGGUUCAUAGGUUGAAUUAUAAAAAGGUAAAUAUGCGCUUAAAUGGUUAAGUCAUAAUAUACACGCACACUUCUUUAUAGAAUGAAAUACCUACCCUGUCGACGCAAGUGUUUCGUACUUUUAUUUAUGCAAUACACUUAUUAUUUUUAUCUUGAUUUUAUCUUCAUAUAACAGUUGUUUUUUCACUUGUUUUAUUUGUUUGAUCGUUUAAUUUUGCCAUUUUUAAGGGACUUUUCGGUUUGAGUCUUUCUUAGAGUUUGAUACUUUUUGUUAUUUUGCUUCUUACUGGUUUUAAAGGUUUAACAUAGGACAAACUACUGUUGCCUCGAAUGAUCAUUUCUUCAUUUUAUAUUUCAGUUGUAGUGUUCAAUGUCAACACGAUAUCAAUUCGACAAGAAAAAACGAAAGGAACAAACUAACACACAAACACUAUAUUAAACUAACGACCAACAGAUGGCUAGCCAAUAAACAGACGUGCAAAAUGAAGACACACAGAAGCUAACAUCAAACGAUACAGAUAGACUGACUUUGGACAGAGACAAAAUAUACCGAAAAGGUGAAGAUCGAAGUUAGGUUUAUAACUAUCAACCGACAGAAUGAGAAAAUUAGCGGAUGUUGUGUUUUUCGGAGAUCUAAUUUUUCAGAAUUUCAUUUUUGUUGCCAUCAAAAAGUCAAAUAACAAAAUUUACCGAACUUCAAGGGAAGUUCAAAUGGAAAGACCUUUAAAAAAUGACAAAAUCAAAAUCAAAAGUAAAUCAAACGAAUGGGAAACAACUGUCAUAUUCCUGACUUUGCACAUCCAUUUACCCAAAGAAUUACUCUAGUUCCAAGUUUUAAAUCUAUUGACCGG
rnacentral:lncRNA from 1 species